GCAAGUUAGCUCAUUCCUCCACGGCAAAGGGGGCCUGUUGAAGUUGGAACAAGCUGAGGAACUGGAUGGCUGAGGAGAUGCUGCUGUGGGGAACCAGACUUCUUUCGGUCCGCUUGAGAGGAAAACAACCAGGGACAAAGGCCAACGGUGCCUCCGACGCUGAGCAGGUUAGCCUUGGCCUGCCUUCGGGGACCAUAUAGGCACUACUGUAACUGUCCAGCAGGGGGCGCUACUCCCCCAGCCUUGCCUGCCAUUGGCCACACCACAAUCCCUCGCCAAACACACACCCUCCCAUGCUGCUCACAAGAAAUCGGAAUUUAGGAGGAUGCCCCUGGGAUUUUGAGAAGUAGCCAAGGAGGAGCUGUGGAAGUAAGAAUUGGUGACUUCCCCACUGUGAGAGGUAAAGCAGGACCGAAGGGAGACUGACAACCACUUUCAGUACCAUAAACCUUGGACCCAUUUUACUGAUGAGUAAUUUGAGGCUGGACAAUACUAGGUGACACCAGAAAGCUUGAGAGGGGCAACGCUAAGUCAUCUGAUUCCAAGGGCACGGCGGGGGAGACCGUGGUGUGUCUGCGGCGUGGGCGCAGCUCGUGAGUGGAAAACUGAAUGGCACACUCAGGCUGGAUGCAACAUCUCGUGAUCUCCGAGACCCUCGGGAUGUCAGGAAGAAGAGAGCUGACAUGGAGCGAUGGGGAGGAAGGCAGUGGACAGCAAAAGCAGACUCGGGGAGGUUCACAGGACAGCCUCCAGGCUGGAGACCAGUGUGAGGAAGGUGUCUGCAUAGAAGAGAGCCCUGAAGGAGUGGGUGAGAGGAGCAGUUCUGGGCGUACGCCCUUCCAACAGCCUGCAGGAGGCUUGUCUUCGGGGCCAGGACACCCAGAUACAAAGAAGUUUGAAGCUGUGCUGCUGUACAGGGUGGGAGGGAUGAGCCCCGCGGUCCUGGCUGGUCUCUCUACCACCCUCACUCUGUCGAAACAGUAAUGAGCGGGCGUGGUGGCCUUAUUCCUAGCACUCCGCAGAGGCUGGAGGAUCUCUGUAGGUUCAAGGCCAGACUUGGUCUAUAGAGCUGACCCAGGACAGCCAGAGAUACUUACUCAGAGUGACCCUGUCUCAAAAACAAAUAAAAAGCAAGCAAACAAAAACCCACAAGGGCUGGAGAGAUGACUCAGAGCAUUGGCUGCUCUUCCAGAGGACCCAGGUACAAUUCCCAGCACCCCCAUGGCAUCUUACAACUUUCUGUAACUCCAGUUCCAGAAGAUCUGAUGCCCUCACUCAGACAUACAUUCAAGGAAAACAUCGAUGCCCACGAAAUAGAAACAAGUAAAAUUUUAAAAAACAACAAAACACCAAACAGCCACCAGGCUAUUAUGAAAGAUCACUUGGUCCAAGUUCCAUCUUUCUCAGUUCUUUGGAGUGUCUGUUUCUAGGGUCCCCUCCCUUCUGGAUCCUUCUAUUUGCUGCCAGAGGCUAAAUACUCUCACCCACCCAUCCUGGUGUGGGAAAGUCUUGUUCCCACACAGCUGGAUUCCCUUCUGCCCACAGGCUAACUCCCACAGGCUAACUCCCACAGCCUUUCUUUUGUGGAAAUGAGGGCGGUCCCUGGCUAAGGCCAGCCCUGGCCCUGAAGGGAACUGGAAAUGAGAAGUCAGCUGCCCUAUGUCAGGCCCCACCACUGCCCUGACCUUGUAGGAACUGGACAAGUAAGGCCUUCUUAGACACACCUAAGCAAGACUCAACCCAGUUUCCUCUACCUUAUGGCAUCUAGCUCCUUGCUUCCUUCAG